AUUGUUUUGGCAGAUAAUUGCGUUAGAUUUAGGAUCUAUGUAUGAAUAAUUUUCAAACAAUA
rnacentral:tRNA from 1 species